CGACCGCCUUAUCGGGAGGAAUAACAGAAUGCGCUACAAUUCGACAUCAUCGAACCGUGCCUUUUCUCGUCCUUCGUUCCUGCAAGGCAUGAUGGGCGCGGCCUUCGCGGUAACACUGGCCGCUUCACCUGGUCAUGCCGCCGACCCUAUCAAGAUCGGUCUCGUCACCGCCCUUUCCGGUCAAUCGGCACGGGCUGGUGAAGCUCUGACUCGUGGAGCCACCAUCGCCAUCGAAGAGAUCAACGCCAAGGGCGGCGUUCUCGG
rnacentral:misc_RNA from 1 species